GCCAUUUUCAAUUUGGCGUUUUACUUGAAGUUCUACAAAACUCUCAUUUGAUCAGAUGUAGGGAUUCAAUCAUAAACCGUCAUCAUGUCACGUUUGAAUCCGGGAGAUGACCAGCCAGGUCGUUUUCCAUCUCAUCAGAGUAUUCCAGCGCGUGGACGACGCAGAAGUGUGAUGUUGAAUCAGGCUACAGAAACAAUGAAGGAGAAACAGGCACGGGCAAAAGAAACUCGUGAGAGACGCCGUUUGAGCAUUACAGCUCAGCACAAGCACAUCUUUGAUAUGGUGGCUCAGUACUUGCAGCUAGAACCAGGGGCAGUGGAAGAAUUUGUUAUUGACA